rnacentral:misc_RNA from 1 species
GAUGAAGAACGUAGCGAAAUGCGAUACGUAAUGUGAAUUGCAGAUUUCAGUGAAUCAUCGAAUCUUUGAACGCACAUUGCGCCCGCCAGUAUUCUGGCGGGCAUGCCUGUUCGAGCGUCAUUUCAACCAUCAAGCCUUCGCUUGUGUUGGGGCCCCGCGGCUGCCGCGGUCCCCUAAAUCCAGUGGCGGGCUCGUCGUCGUACCGAGCGCAGUAGACAUCCUCGCUCCGGGAACCCGACGGGUGCCGGCCGUGAAACCCCCCACAUCAAGGUUGACCUCGGAUCAGGUAGGAAUACCCGCUGAACUUAAGCAUAUCAUAAGCGGAGGA